rnacentral:rRNA from 1 species
CACGGCAGCCAGAUCGCCCUGUGGCUCACCCGCCAGCGGCCCCGCUGGAGCUCAGCAGGCGGGAGCCUGGCCAGUACCUGGAUGGGAGACCUCCUGGGAAAAACUGAGGUUGCUGCUAGAA